AUUGAACGCUGGCGGCAGGCCUAACACAUGCAAGUCGAGCGGAUGAAGGGAGCUUGCUCCUGGAUUCAGCGGCGGGCGGGUGAGUAAUGCCUAGGAAUCUGCCUGGUAGUGGGGGAUAACGUCCGGAAACGGGCGCUAAUACCGCAUACGUCCUGAGGGAGAAAGUGGGGGAUCUUCGGACCUCACGCUAUCAGAUGAGCCUAGGUCGGAUUAGCUAGUUGGUGGGGUAAAGGCCUACCAAGGCGACGAUCCGUAACUGGUCUGAGAGGAUGAUCAGUCACACUGGAACUGAGACACGGUCCAGACUCCUACGGGAGGCAGCAGUGGGGAAUAUUGGACAAUGGGCGAAAGCCUGAUCCAGCCAUGCCGCGUGUGUGAAGAAGGUCUUCGGAUUGUAAAGCACUUUAAGUUGGGAGGAAGGGCAGUAAGUUAAUACCUUGCCGUUUUGACGUUACCAACAGAAUAAGCACCGGCUAACUUCGUG
rnacentral:rRNA from 1 species